rnacentral:rRNA from 1 species
AGGACGAACGCUGGCGGCGUGCUUAACACAUGCAAGUCGAGCGGUGAUCCUCCUUCGGGAGGUGAUCAGCGGCGAACGGGUGAGUAACACGUGGGCAACCUGCCCCUCACACUGGGAUAACCUCGGGAAACCGGGGCUAAUACCGGAUACGACCUCGAGCGGCAUCUCUUGAGGUGGAAAGCUUCGACGGUGAGGGAUGGGCCCGCGGCCUAUCAGCUUGUUGGUGGGGUAAUGGCCUACCAAGGCGACGACGGGUA